rnacentral:rRNA from 1 species
UACGUAGGGUGCGAGCGUUGUCCGGAAUUACUGGGCGUAAAGAGCUCGUAGGUGGUUUGUCGCGUUGUUCGUGAAAACUCACAGCUUAACUGUGGGCGUGCGGGCGAUACGGGCAGACUGGAGUACUGCAGGGGAGACUGGAAUUCCUGGUGUAGCGGUGGAAUGCGCAGAUAUCAGGAGGAACACCGGUGGCGAAGGCGGGUCUCUGGGCAGUAACUGACGCUGAGGAGCGAAGGCCAGGGGAGCAAACGGG